rnacentral:rRNA from 1 species
AAAUUGAAGAGUUUGAUCAUGGCUCAGAUUGAACGCUGGCGGCAGGCCUAACACAUGCAAGUCGAACGGUAACAGGAAGCAGCUUGCUGCUUCGCUGACGAGUGGCGGACGGGUGAGUAAUGUCUGGGAAACUGCCUGAUGGAGGGGGAUAACUACAC